AGAGUUUGAUCAUGGCUCAGAACGUACGCUGGCGGCACGCCUAACACAUGCAAGUCGAACGCAGUAGCAAUACUGAGUGGCAAACGGGUGAGUAUAAUGUGGGAAUCUGCCUUUUGGUCAGGAAUAACACGGGGAAACUUGUGCUAAUACCGGAUAAGCCCUUACGGGGAAAGUUUUAAUGCCGAAAGAUGAGCCUGCACUUGAUUAGCUAGUUGGUAAGGUAAAGGCUUACCAAGGCAACGAUCAAUAGCUGUUCUUAGAGGAAGACCAGCCACAUUGGGACUGAGACACGGCCCAGACUCCUACGGGAGGCAGCAGUGGGGAAUCUUGCACAAUGGGGGAAACCCUGAUGCAGCGAUGCCGCGUGAGUGAAGAAGGCCCUUGGGUUGUAAAACUCUUUCGUCGGGGAAGAAAAUGACUGUACCCGAAUAAGAAGGUCCGGCUAACUUCGUGCCAGCAGCCGCGGUAAUACGAAGGGACCUAGCGUAGUUCGGAAUUACUGGGCUUAAAGAGCUCGUAGGUGGUUAAAAAAGUUGAUGGUGAAAUCCCAAGGCUCAACCUUGGAACUGCCAUCAAAACUUUUUAGCUAGAGUGUGAUAGAGGUAAGUGGAAUUUCUAGUGUAGAGGUGAAAUUCGUAGAUAUUAGAAAGAACACCAAAUGCGAAGGCAACUUACUGGGUCACUACUGACACUGAGGAGCGAAAGCAUGGGUAGCGAAGAGGAUUAGAUACCCUCGUAGUCCAUGCCGUAAACGAUGUGUGCUAGACGUUGGAAAUAUAUUUUUCAGUGUCGCAGCGAAAGCAUUAAGCACACCGCCUGGGGAGUACGACCGCAAGGGUUAAAACUCAAAUGAAUUGACGGGGACCCGCACAAGCAGUGAGCAUGUGGGUUU
rnacentral:rRNA from 1 species